AAACAAACUCGCAUCGUAAACAAACAUGGCAGCCACGAAGAAAAUCGAAGAGGCUCUUGCUCAUAUUAGGGAGGCCGAAAAGAGCCUUAAAACGAGUCUCUUGAAGUGGAAGCCAGAUUACGAUGUGGCUGCAGAUGAAUACAAUGCAGCAGCCACGUGUUACAAGACAGCCAAGCAGUUCACUCAGUGCCGGGAGUGUUUGCUCAAGGCGGUGGAGAACUACAAGCUCAACCGAUCAUUCUUCUCAGCUGGGAAGUGUCUAGACCAGGCAGCUCUCAUCAGUAAGGAGCUCGGAGACUUGGAAUCCAUCUUUACCCUGUGCCAACGAGCAGCUUGUAUGUACCGGGAGCACGGCAUUCCUGACACUGCCGCUCUGUCACUGGAGAAGGGCGCCAAGAUGAUAGAUACCCAGCUGCCAGAAAAAGCCCUCAUCAUGUUUGAGCAUGCCGUCGACAUUGUGAUAACUGAGGACCGGCCCAGGCAGGCAGCGGAGUACCAGAGCCGUGUGUCUCGCCUCAACGUCAAGAUGCAAAAGUAUGAUGCUGCAACAGAUGCCAUCAGGAGAGAAAUCUGCUACCACCAAGCUGGAGAGAAUCAGCCUGCCAUUGGGAGGCUCACCGUGGCCCUGGUAUUGGUGCAGCUGGCCCGGGGUGACACUGUGGCAGCAGAGAAAGCCUUCAGAGAGUGGGGAUCCUACUGUGAGAAUGAAGAGGUACAAACCUUGGAGAUGCUGAUCCAGGCCUUUGAUGAGGAGGAUGGAGACAUGGCAGUGAAGGUCCUGAAUAGCCCCUUCAUCAAACAUAUGGAUGUGGAGUAUGCCAAGCUGGCUCGCAGUCUGCCUGUCCCCAAGUGCAGCCAGGAGACCAAGAAGCCAGGAGUGACUGACACCUACCCACCCUACACCUCCAGCUCUGGGGCUGAUGUGGAUGCCCUUGCUAAAGGUGUUGGUAGCACUUCAAUUAGUCAGAAUGAUGAGGAGCUGGACUUGUGCUGAGUUGACCUGGAGGGGUAUGUGUGGCAUCACUUCAUAGGCUGCAUUGCUGGCAGGAUGGUGUGCAUGAUAGCAAAGAUAAGCCAGCAGGGAGCCAAGCUCAACAUAAUCAUUCAGCUAAGUUUUCCAUAAAUCAGUAAUGAGAGCAACAUGACACAAAUCAGUGCUGGAGAAGGUGGAGUUCCAAGCACCAAGGAGGGUGGAGGGCAACUUGGUUGCUCAUAGUUAAGAAGUUUUGAGGUUAGCCUGAGCUGUUUUCUCAUUCUAUGCCAUCAGUAGUUUGAUAUGAAAUUAAAUUUUCAUCCUCAACAGUUUUUGAACUGACAAUCUUAUUUUCAGUACUUUGGAUGCUGAGGCACAAUCUUUUCAACAUUGCUCCAGCAACUAUUCAACUGUGUGAUAUUCCCAAAAGUUUAUACACUCUCUUUCUGAGCUUUGGAAAAAUUAUGCUCUGUCUAUGCCAGAAAACAGUGCUUGGGAGAGCAGAGUUGAGUAA